rnacentral:rRNA from 1 species
AGAUUAAGCCAUGCAUGUCUAAGUCCAAGCUGUGUUCACACGGCGAGACCGCGGACGGCUCAUUAAAUCAGUCGUGGUCCAAAUGGGCCAGUGCAAAUCCUACUUGGAUAACUGUGGUAAUUCCAGAGCUAAUACAUGCAACUGAUAUCCCGAAGGCGGUGUUUGGGCUUGCUUGCCUUGCGCUGCGCUGCUCUGACGGAUGCUUUUAUUAGACCAAGCCGCUGAGGACUUGAGGGUUCGCGCUCUCUUGUCUGACUCGUGUGAUGGUGACUCUGGAUAACCAAAUUCUGACAAGCGCACGUACUUCUCUUCUGAGCGAGACGGCGCUGCCACUUUCGAGUGUCUGCCUUAUCAGCUAUCAACCGUUCGUUAUGCGCGACCGAUGGCUUUGACGGGUAACGGGGAAUCAGGGUUCGAUUCCGGAGAGGCAGCCUGAGAGACGGCUACCACGUCCAAGGACGGCAGCAGGCACGCAAAUUACCCAAUCCCAGCAAAUGGGGGAGGUAGUGACGAAAUCUAACGAUGCGGGCGCCCUUUCUGGGGCCCCGCAAUCGGAAUGGGCACUUUCUAAACAACCUGUUGAGAACCUACUGAAGG